GUGUCAGCAGCCGCGGUAAUACGUAGGUCCCGAACGUUGCGCGAAUUUACUGGGCGUAAAGGGUCCGUAGGCGGUCUGGUAAGUGGAAGGUGAAAUCCUGGGGCUCAACUCCAGAAUUGCCUUCCAAACUGCCUGACUUGAGGCAGGGAGAGGUCGGCGGAAUUCUCGGUGUAGCGGUGAAAUGCGUAGAUAUCGGGAGGAACACCAGGGGCGAAGGCGGCCGACUUGAACUGACCUGACGCUGAGGGACGAAAGCCAGGGGAGCGGACCGGGUUAGAUACCCGGGGAGUCCUGGCCGUAAACGAUGGAUGCUAGAUGUGGGCGGGGAGACCCGUCCGUGUCGCAAGCUAACGCGUUAAGCAUCCCGCCUGGGGAGUACGGCCGCAAGGUUGAAACUUAAAUGAAUUGACGGGG
rnacentral:rRNA from 1 species